rnacentral:lncRNA from 1 species
GAGGCUAUGUACACUGAGAGGCCGUAGGUACGUGUGUGAGAGAGAUGGUCUGUGUGUGAGGUUGUGUGUGUGAGACGGAAUGUGUGAGUAUGUACGUAACAGGUUUUAAGAAAUUGUGUACGCGUGAAACUGUUAGGAGUCUGUGAGAGACAGUGUAUGUAAGAGAGGGUGAGUGUGAGGGAGAGAGGAGAGCGUGUGUGUGUGUGUGUGUGUGUGUGUGUGUGUGAUGCACAGUUACACUCCAACGGGGUGGUCCUGUUCUUCCGCGGCACGGAGGCUGUGCCUGAGUGUGCUGCUGGAGGCCUGCCCUGAGUGCCGUCCGUCCUUUGCAAUGUUGCGGCGGGGACACAGCUGGUCCUGAGAAGGCAUCAUACUCAGACAAGCCUGCAAGAUUGCAUUCAUUCCUGUUGUUUCCGUUAGUGAUGCUCGUCCAUGGAAUGAUAAUCUAAUUUUCCUCCGUGGGUUGAUGUUCUGUCAUCAGAGGAGUGUCAGGAAGACCUAUUACAGAGCAGACAUCUAAGAUGAGGCAGGUGUGAAAUUACCUUUUGUUUAGUGGAGAAAUAAAUUGGAACCAGAAAGAAUCUCUGUUUAAUAAGAGCUUUUUGACCUUUGAUAAACCUUUCCCAGCACAGCAAACCCAUGGUUAACUCUACAGCAGUGAGGAAGCUAUGGUAGCAGAACUGCAAUUAACCUUCAUGGGCAAAACAAAACAUAAAAAACCGUGAGAGGUUGUGAAAGCUAAUGAAAAAGGGAAUGUAUUUUGAAGGAGAAAUGCAGACUUGCAAAGCACUGCUUUCCUAUCUUCCUUCACUUCUCAGGUUGGUUUUUGUCAUCUAUCACAUGGGAAAGGGUGGAGAGCUCCUUCCAAGUUGGUAUAAAAUCCUUUUAUGGAUGGUUUCCUCUUGGGAUGGGGGGUUGUCCCUGCCUACCUGCCUUCCAACCAUCCUUCAUCAAAUACCUUUAGAAAUAAGUGAAGGCCCUGAAUUUCAGCUGGAACAUGUCUGCCCAGAAUGGAGCCUUCAUUUCAGCUUCCAUUGCAGAGCCAGACCUCAGCAUGGUCUUUCUAGGGGACUACUACCUCUUCAGGAGACAUUUACUGAGAGCUAUGGCUCAUAUUUAUCAGCAGGAAUCAGAACAAAAACAAACAAAAAUCAUGUGUGAGGAUGGAUCUUGAAGAUGCUCAUCUAGGAGGGACAGAGUAUAGAGCUGAGUAUGGGCAAGCUUUGUCUUUCAUUUUUUUCUUCUUCUUUCCAUCAAACUUUUUUUGCUAGAAGUGUUAUUUGGUUUUCCUAUUGGAAUCUAGGUAUUAGGUUUUGGAGUCAGGUGUUUAUGAUGAUUGGAAUUUGCAAGGAGUACUACACUUGGAUGAUAGGAAAGUGAAGAAAGGAGAUGACUUAUGUAUCAGAAGAGCUGAGAUAGAUAUAUUAAAGGAUUGGUAGUCCAAUGAAGCCAAACCACUGCUUGAAGUGAGAGGUUGAACAAGUGAGGUGGAACGAGAAGCAGUUGUGGGAAGAAAACAAGAUAUUUGAUUGAAUAUUUUUGAAGAUGAAGCAAUUAGGAAUUGUGACAAGGACUGGAUACCAAUCUGAAUAUCUGACUUGGAAGUGAAAGAGAAGGUUACAUGGAACCAGUAGGCCUGGAAAGUGAAAGGGCUGGGUUUGUUAGAACAGCAAAAUCCUUUCAGAAGAUUAUAGGAUUUAACAUGGAGAGAAAACUGGGCCAGACAACAAAGACCUUUAGUUCAUCUGAUGAUAGUAAGAAGAAGGAAUGAAGAGUGUAAUAAAAUUUCCUGAAUCUUAAAGAGCAGGUUUUCUAUUCCAGGAGUCUGGAAACAAAGGUACAUUCCUUUGAGUUCUGAAUCCACAGAAAUAUAGUGGAAGAGAAAAUAUUUUCUUCCUGUGUUCUUUUGGAUAGGAAUAUAUUUUUUUUUUCUUCAUCUAGUCAGAUGAGUCUUAUUGUUUGUAGAAAUUACUUCAAAAUUUCAGCAAUAUCAUUUCUGUCAAUAUGAACACAUUUCAAAUGUAAAGUUGUGAGAAGCCAAUUCAUGGAGCUGCCAACCCACUGCCAUUUUAAAUGGAAGUUUAAAUAAAAUCAUUAUAUAUGUCAGUACAUUAUAUAUAUGUCAGUGGAAAGCUAUAUUUAGUUUAUAUAAAUGUUAAGGGUUUAUAAUGUUCUUCACCUAUCAAUGGCUUAAGCCAAAGUGAUGCCAAUACAACUGAACAACUUAAUAAAAAAUUCAAAACCAUUUCUUUUAGGACAAAUCUGGUUAUUCAAGUUGACCAAUCUGUUAAUUUCAAUACCAGUUUAAGAGCAUAAUUUUUUGGCCUUUCAAAGUUUUCCAUGACAGCUGUUUUCUUUUAUUUGUUUCUAUUUUUGCCUGUUACUCCCUGAAAACAAUAAACAGAAAAUUCUGAAACAGAUGGCUACUAUUGUAUUUUGUAGUUUAUUUUUAAAAUAUGCAACCCCAAACAUCUGCCAUAAUCUGGAACUAGUUUUCAGAAAAUGAAUUUGACUCGAUAUUUAAUGUGGAUCCAAUUGAAAAAUGAUAAUGUUGUAUAUAGUGACUAGACAAACACUAAGGUGAGCAUUUUGCUUUUGUGAAGGCAUCUGAAGAAGUUUAAAAGGUUUUAUUUUAUAGUUAAUUCUACCCUUGUAUAAAUAAUCUAUUGAAUUUCAAUUAGUCUUUGUACUUGCAUUUGUUUUCUUUCCAGAAAAUCCCUACAUUUGCCCUCUAUUUUCUCACCAAAGCAUACUUUAUUUUAUAGGUCUAGCCACAUUAGAAGGCUAAGGUCCCUAUUAUUUCUAAAUUAGCCCCACUGUCCCAAAAUUUAAUAUAUGGACCUCAGUAAGAUGAUCAGGUUAUAUAUUUAAAUAAUUAUCUGCUCCCAAGUUUACUUAUUAACAAAAUACAUGCUUUUUCUAGGAUUAUCAUGAGAAAUGCUGAUAUAUUCAGACAAUACCUAGACCAUCAUUUUUUUAUCACUUUGAGGUUUAAAGUGUUCUAGAAAACUGAGAGAACUUGCAAAUCAGAGAAGUGUUGACUUGCUCAUUAUUCUUAGAGAAAAUAGAAAUACUAAAGAGAUAUUUAGUUAGGAUUUCAGUAAGAUUGCACUUGUGUUAACAUAAUGCAGCUCAUCUAAUAAAUAUGUGAAUCACAUAUGUGCAUGUUUUAAUAUAUUUUUUAUUCUGAUAUUUUAAAUUAAUUGAUUCUUUUAGCAAAUACUUAUUGAAAUCUUACUAUAUUUCAGAAUGCAUAGAUGUUAAAUAUGUGAACAAACCAGACAAAAUUGUAUUCAAAUGGGAAUAUAGAUUAUAAAUAAAUGUACAAAUAGUAUAAUUUUAGAAAAUCACAAAUGCUAAGAAGAAUUCCUUUUAUUGAAUUCGCUUGGCUUCUUGUGGCCACUUCCUUUACAAUGUUCAGAAACCACCAACUGAUGGCCUGUUUUACAUACUUAACUAGGAUCAAUACAAAGCUUUCCAGUUUCAAUUCAUGUUUCUUAUUUACUUCUGUUUUUUGUUUGUUUGUUUGCUUUUGUAAAUUGAGACAUUUCUCAAUCUCUAGUAUUCAGUGACAGAUAUAUUACAAUUUUAUUUGUAAGUUAUUUCAAUAUCUCGGGUUGUAACGUAUUAGAGUCAAAAGCAUAGAAAUAAUUAGGCUCUGUUGUUUGCUUACCUGUAUUGUUGAAAGUAGGCAUAGUCUAGAGGAGAGAGUGAUAUUUAUAUUCUGAAUAUUGGAGUUUUCCCAAAGGUAAAUAAUCCAUCAUUCUCUUUGGCCUGCAUUCUUUACAUACAUUCAAUAUAAUUGUGAAUAACUUUUAUUUAGCAUGAGAGCAGAGUGUGCACACAACAAUGUUUUAUCCAUUGCUUAGGCUGUGGUUUUGGCUAAUACCAAUUACCAAUGGGCCCCAAAGGCCAGGAAACCAAGUGAUACAGAGAUGAUAACCACUAAUUGUACAUUCAUGAAGCUUCUUUUGUUUAUUUCCUAGUAUAAAUGAAGGGCAAUUCUGAGUUGAGGCUGUUCUGAACCGUAAAUGUGGUCCCUUGAAGAUGUCUCAUAGCUCCACCUUACCUUAAACUCAUGGUCUAAUUGAGUUUCUGUGUGUUAAAUAUAAUUCACAAAUGUAUUAAUCCUCUCCUUUGAAAGUAGUGUUAUGGAAAAUUUGGUGCAAAGUUCCUGUUUGUUGAUCUCUUGUAUUACCACAUGGAACAUAAUACAUAUGUUUGUAUGCUGCCUUUUUUAUAGAGUUAAAUUUCUCUAAUUUUCCUGUAAAGUUAAUUGAUUUAAUGUCAUUACACCAAUUCAAAUAAAUUGAUAAUCUGCCUAUUAGUAAUGGAAUGCAUUAACAAAUGAUUUAUCAUUAAAAUAAGCAUCAGCAA